CAGUCAAAGUGAUAGAAAAAGAAAAUAACCCUGAGGACAACUUACGGGGUGUGCGUAUUGCCAUAUACUGGACACAAAAAGGGCUGACAAUUUUUUAUUUUAAUGUCCGUAGAUAUAUCGAUUUGAAAUAUCGCACAUAGUCACUUCCAGCUACAUUUUAUACACAAAUAUGACGUAUUUGCUCAAAUUGCAAUGCAGGUUUUACACCGUAAUUUUGAUUCGUUUUAUCUGAGUAGUGUUAUCUUAUAUGACAAAAAAAAUACGGGUUUAAUAUUUAUCAUUCCCUAACUGACAGACUAAAUAGAUUUUUAAUUUUUAUACUCAGUCAUCAUCCCUAUUCCGGGGUCCGAGCUCCUACUGAGAAAUAUUUGAAACCGAAACAAGCCACUAUCAUCAUAAAGUCGGCCUACUAUCAUCCCUACAGAGUGGACUUCCCUUGGGUGCGAACGAAACGGUUCAAAUCCACGUUCCUAAUCCGUACAGCCAGGGAAUGGAACAAUCUGCCGGCUUCUAUUUUUCCUGAGAAAUACAACCGGGGUCUUUUCAAGGUCAGAGUAAAUAGGUACUUUCUAAGUCUGUGUGCUCCAUCUUCGGCCACAUCUUCGCUUCACCGUCCUGGCAGUAAGCGGGUUGGUGGCCAAACGCAGAUUUAUCAACGUUAAAAAAAAGCCCAAAGCCUACAUUCUUUGCCUGGCAAUCACCACCAUUCGGCCAACGAAGUAGUCAAGUUGUCCUUUAAGGUGUUUUUUAACCAGAGAUGUGCUAUGCUACGUUGCUGUGGAUGCGUUUGGCUUCCACCAAUCAUAUUCAUAGCUUAGCACUGAUGAAAACGGACUCAGCUAUGUGUGCUUUCAAUGGCUUUCCCUACUAUCGAUAUAUCGCAUAUUUGAGUUGUGCAUCUUCCUCGCUUAGCUACUUUGCGGCGGCGCAUCUUCGUAGCACAUCUUACUCGCACAGCUUACUAUCAGUAGAAUCAGUCACAUAGUUACACAGCUUAGCUAUUACAUCUUCGUAGCAUAGCUGCAUAGCACAUCUCGUGUGGAAAAGCACCAUUAAAAGGCAUCGAACAGAUUCCGGGUCUAGAACGUUGUUAAACUACUCAGUAAUGGUAAUUACAAAAUUAACCCUUCAAACGCCGCGCCGAAAAAAUUCCUCUAAUUUCCAUGCUCUGAGGCCUACUCCGGUUCUCGAAUCCGAAAUUUCGUUAAAUUUUCGGCCGUAGGUUUUAUUGAUUUACUAAUAGAAUUACUUGAAAUAACGUUUUAUUUUUAAUUUCAUAAACGUUAUUUCGUUCGUUACUUCGGAUUCGAGAACCGGAGUAGGCCCCCAGGUGAUUAGUCUGCUCAUUGAUGAUAAAUGAUAUUUAUUUCUGUAAGUAGGUUAUAAAAUAACACUUUUGCACGUCAACAUUUGCCUCCUAUUCCAUAAAAUAAAAUAUCUGCGGCAGUUGUAGGGUUAAAGGUGUUCGCUAAAUAUAGCCUAAAGACUGGCUCUGCGUUGUGAGUUUCUGACUAUUUAAAAACAUUAAAUACCAAUAUCAAUUAACUUAACAAGUACCUUUAUUUAUUUUUGGAACAUAAUAUUUACUUGUUGCACAGGAUGUACUUAUUUAACACGUUCAUUGUUAAAAAAAUAUAUAUUUAUUAUAAAAAAAUACAUCAUCUAUCUAAAACAAUCAUUUAGACAUGCUAUGCUAAUGUAUAUUGUUUUCAGAUUUGUCAAAUAAUUUUAUGUGUCCUAUUUUAUAAGGGUUUUUUUAGACGGGGAAAAUCAUCCAAUGUUUUCUCCCGCCUUGGGCGAGGCGAGAGGGAAUGUCAGACUCUUACUGACUAAAAACCACCCCGUUCCUACUCCUAUUUGUCGAGCUAGAGCCCCGGUAAACCCGCUAGGUAGUCCGCAGCUCCUAUUUAAUAGGGGCUGAGUCGAUUACCUUAUACUGGAUUAAAUUCGAUGCUCCGAGUUAUAAUAUACAUUUCUAUACAGCAAUAAUGACGGGGAAUUAAAAUUAAAAAUGUAUGUAGUCCAAAUAUUAGACACGUAUUUUUUGUAUUUUGUCGUAUAAGAUAACAAUACUUACAUAAAACAAAUCAAAGUUUAGGAGUGGGAGCAUAUACGUCAUUUCUACGUAUAAAACGUACUUAGAAGUGACCUCACGCGAUAUUUCAAAUCAAUAUACCCUCGAAAGUUUUUGUUUUUAUAAGAAAACUCGCGCACCCGGCGAAUUUCGUUUCGCCACCAAUGAUUUUUUCCUGCUUUUGUCUUGAAAUUUUUCCUAUAUUUCCUUUGCUAUGAACCUCACGGAGCCCGAGACCUUUCCAUCGAAUACAAAACUAUGAAAAUCGGUUCAUGCGUUCUGGAGUUAUAACGUCAGGAAGGAAAAAUCGACUUAUUUUUAUAUUUUAGAUAAAAUAUACGUAUAUAAUGUUUUAAAGUAAUCUACAAGACGGACAUAAAAAUAAAUAAUAUUUAAUAUUAAAAUAAAUAUAGAAAUUAAUCGAAACAUCAUGUAUACCAAAAUAAAAAAACCUUUUAAAAUUCCAAGUACACUUUAAUCGUGCAUUUCAAUCUCAUUUCCUCACAUAUAAAAUGGAAGAUUUAAGGAACUCAUAGCCAGUCGAAUUCCGAACCUCCUUGGCCGAAAUCGGUCAAUAAUGGAAGUAAAAUCCAUAUUUGUAUUCCUUUUAACGAUUGGCGUAGUUAAUAUGGAGUUUUAUUUAUCACCCCUGCCCUAUUUUGCCACGGCGCCCUAUUUUGCGCUGAUGUUACCAUCAACUCCGGAUUUAUCAGCUCCGGAUUUAUCAGCUUCGGAUUUAUCAGCUCCGGAUUUAUCAGCUCCGAAACCAUUAGCUCCGCAAGAAUCAGCACUACCGUCGAGCCCGAAUCAAUACUUGCCUCCACCACGAGGGCCAUUUGUCAAUGACACGCCUGUAAUCUAUGCCGCCGCCCCAAUCCUACCAUCAUCACAAGUAGUUUUGUUAUACAACAGAAAGUUUACUUAAAUAAACAAUUUCCUAGAUCA